GGAUGUGGCUCAGUGGUAGAGAACUUGCCUAGUAGAUGUGAGGCACUGGGUUCAAUCCCCAGCACCA
rnacentral:tRNA from 1 species